GAUGAACGCUAGCGGCAGGCCUAAUACAUGCAAGUCGAGGGAGAAGAUUACUUCGGUAAUUGGAAACCGGCGCACGGGUGAGUAACGCGUACAUAACCUGCCCCGUACACAGGGAUAGCCCCGGGAAACUGGGAGUAAUACCUGAUAGUCCGCUUCGGCGGUAAAGCUCCGGCGGUACGGGAUGGGUGUGCGUCCCAUUAGCUAGUUGGUAAGGUAACGGCUUACCAAGGCAACGAUGGGUAGGGGGCGUGAGAGCGUGGCCCCCCACACGGGUACUGAGACACGGACCCGACUCCUACGGGAGGCAGCAGUAAGGAAUAUUGGUCAAUGGAGGCAACUCUGAACCAGCCAUGCCGCGUGAAGGAUGACUGCCCUAUGGGUUGUAAACUUCUUUUAUACGGGAAGAAAAGCUCCUUUUCCAAGGGGUCUGACGGUACCGUACGAAUAAGCACCGGCUAACUCCG
rnacentral:rRNA from 1 species